rnacentral:lncRNA from 1 species
GGCUUGAGUUAGGGUAUGGAUUAUUAAAAAGGAAAACAAGUGGCUUUUGGUUCAGAGUCGAUGAUACAUCUUGUGUUUGUUUCUUUUAUUGCCUUGGUUUUCUUUUCACCGAUAACCCAUUUCCGUGCUUCUUUCUUUUGAAUCUUCGAGUUAUCAUUUUUCUCUUUUUAUUUUUCUUUCUUUUUCUCGAUUCAUACAUUUUUUCUUUUUCUUUUGUUUUUGCACUUUCUUGGGCUUUGGAAGCUUUUGGGGGUUUUUACCCCAAACUUAGCUUUUCAACACAACUUUGAAUGCAUUAUCAUGACUCUGAACAGGGUGAGGAAGUGUUUUGGCCAACGGUUAUAUUUAUGGUGUUUAAACAAAAAAAUGGAUAUAGGCUUAAAGGGGGUUAACGAGGGAUAUAAUUAUUCGGGAUGGCUAGAAAGGCUCGGGGUUAAUUACAAACAACGUGCCUUAGUGUGCGUAUCAUGCAGUGACAGUCCCAGAGAGUCUACGCAAAUUUAGAGUGAUAAAGACAAACCUGAAUGACGCUCAUGAUGAUCAAUGUGUUUGGCUUUUUAUGAAUCACUUAGUUUGGUUCCGCUUUGACAGGAUCCACAGUGCUCAUUAAUUUGGUGUGAUCUCU